GACGAACGCUGGCGGCGUGCUUAACACAUGCAAGUCGAGCGGGAUCCGGGCUUUCGGGUUUGGUGCGCGUGGCGAACGGGGGAGUAACACGUGAGUAAACUGCCCCCUUCUUUGGGAUAACGUCUGAAAAUCGGCGCUAAUACUGGAUAUUCUUGCUGCAUCUCAUGGUUUGGUUUGGGAAGGGUUUCUGGUGUGGGAUGGGCUCGCGGCCUAUCAGCUUGUUGGUGGGGUGAUGGCCUACCAAGGCUUUGACGGGUAGCCGGUCUGAGAGGGUGUGCGGCCACGGUGGGACUGAGACACGGGCCAGACUCCUACGGGAGGAAGCAGUGGGGAAGAUUGAGCGAGGGGCGUAAGCCUGAGGGAGCGAGGCCGCGUGAGGGAUGACGGCUGUCGGGUUGUAGACCCCGGUCAGUAGGGAGCAAGGAUCCUUCUUUUGGGGGGUUUGAGGGUACGGGGAGAAGAAGCGCCGGCUAACUACGUG
rnacentral:rRNA from 1 species